rnacentral:rRNA from 1 species
UAUACAAAGGUAUUGUAAUAAGAUUUUAAUUGAAUGCUAAAAGAAUGGAAUUACAGGGAAAAACUUUUUUAAAAUUAAAAAUUGAAGUUAUUUUAAUUUGUGAAGAAACAAUUAUAUAAAUUAAGGACAAGAAGACCCUAAGAAUUUAAAAAAUUUACAUUAAUUAAGUAUUUAAUAUAAAUUUUUUGGUUGGGGCAACCAAAAAAUAUUUUUAACUUUUUAAAAAUAACAUGACCCAUUAUUAAUGAUUAUAUAACAAAAUACUCUAGGGAUAACAGCGUA